UACGUAGGGGGCAAGCGUUAUCCAGAUUUACUGGGCGUAAAGGGCGCGCAGGCGGCUUAUUUUGUCAGGCGUGAAAGCCCCGGGCUUAACCUGGGAACUGCGUUUGAUACGGAUGGGCUAGAGUUCGGGAGAGGAGAGUGGAAUUCCCAGUGUAGAGGUGAAAUUCGUAGAUAUUGGGAAGAACACCGGUGGCGAAGGCGGCUCUCUGGACCGAUACUGACGCUGAGGCGCGAAAGCGUGGGGAGCAAACAGG
rnacentral:rRNA from 1 species